rnacentral:rRNA from 1 species
CAGUAGCCGCGGUAAUACGGAGGGGGCUAGCGUUGCUCGGGAUUACUGGGCGUAAAGGGCGCGUAGGCGGAUGUUUAAGUCAGAGGUGAAAGCCCAGGGCUCAACCUUGGAACUGCCUUUGAUACUGGACAUCUUGAGUAUGGGAGAGGUGAGUGGAACUCCGAGUGUAGAGGUGAAAUUCGUAGAUAUUCGGAAGAACACCAGUGGCGAAGGCGACUCACUGGCCCAUUACUGACGCUGAGGCGCGAAAGCGUGGGGAGCAAACAGGAUUAGAUACCCCCGUAGUCCCUGUCUCUUAUAC